UGAUAUGUGGACAGCAAUAAAGAGAUUAAGAGUCCAAGAGCUGGGACUUGAGCUCUGAUGACCAAUCCCAAGGCCAAAAGCAUAUUGAGCUGACUCGGAAAGGAGGAGAACCUCUCCUGGGACAGGAGUUUGCUCUGCCCACUGAGGACCAUGAAGCAGAAGCAUCAUACAUGGGAAAAGAAGGAGCCCACUUCAUCUUACAAAAGCCAAUAUAUCCCGACUCUUGCUGUCUCCUGUCCUGGAAGCUGGGAUACAGUCAUGAGAUCCAGAGAAGGGAGAGGACAUCAAGAGAUGCUUCAUCCUGGAGACAGAGCCCAGGGAACAGGACAGCAGGAAAGCAAAGCACCAGCUGCUGCAGAAUCAGUUACAUCAAGGCUGACUGGGCAAAGCCAGCUCUCUCAGGAGUUCAUCUUGGUGUGUCACCACUGAAAUCUGGAAAGUGGUCACCUGGUAAGUGAAGCUUCAGCCACAUGAUUCAAGGUCAUGCUCUUAAUAUAGCCGAUAGAAAUAGCAGUCAGGAAAUAAGUAGAGCCAAUCUAACCAAAUCCUGUCUUUUAUUCCUAUGAGUAAGAUUUGUUAAUUUAGCAUAUGUUUUAGGAGGCUUCAUAUCAUUUGUGAGUGAUCUUAAGAAAUGAAGGUAGAGAAGACAAUGUUUAUCUGUGUCCUCAAAGUGCCCAGAUCUUAAAAGAAAAAAAUUAUUUGUCCAUAGUAACCAAUAUUAGACAACAAUGUAAGACAACAGUAGAUUGUAUGCAUAAUGCCUGAUGGGUAAAACAUCUGAGAAAAACAUUAACAGAGGAGAUGAUGCUGGGGCUGAAUCUUAUAUAUGGUGUGGCUGUUAAUCUCAAGUCUCAACUUGAUGAAAGCUAGACUCGCCCGAGACAUGGGCCUCCGGGUGUGCCUGUGUGGAAUUUUCUUUACUAGGUUAAUUGAGGUCGGAAGGUCCACCCACUGUGAGUAGCACCAUUCUCUGGAAUGAGAUCUUAGAUGCUACAGAAUGGAGAAAUGAGGCCAGCAAGAUGGCUCAGUGGACAAAGGCAUGGAAGGAAAUAAUUGGCUUUUGUAAGUUGUCCUCUGACCACUUACAUUCAUGCCAUGGCAUAUAUAACCCCUAAUAGACAUGUUAAAUGUUUUUGAAGAAUAAAGUGAUAUGAGCACAAGGAUUCAUAGCUCUCUUCUCCCUGAGUGCAGAGGCAAUGUGCACAGUGGCUGUGUUGACUUCCUCACCGUGAUUGUACCCUUGAACCUGAAUAAAUCCUUCCCUUCCUUAAGUGCUGUCAUCAGGUUAUUUUAUCAACAACAGAAAAAUUAACUAAGAUAGAUGGGAUUUAAGGGACUAUUCUUCUCUAGUCCUCAGACCCAUCAAUGUUUGUUUUUUCCUUCUUUUUUUCUGUUUUUCUUCUCUCACACAAUACAUUCUGACCACAGUUUCCCCUCCCUCCACUCCUCUCAGCGCUCCCCAUCUACUCCUGUGUUUCCCCUCCCCUCAGAAAAGAACAGGCCUCCAAGGGGUUAAGAGCACUGGCCCAUUAAUGUUUAUAAAUACCCCCAGGUAACAGGUGGUAUUUAUGUGCUGUGGAUGAACUGCCUAAACCCUCGCGUCUGAGUUUCCUUAGUUAACAAACUGUAAUGAUAACAUGUCUGAAAGGAUUUAUGAGAUUCAUGCAACAUAACUCCUGCAGAGUGUUUGGCAUAUGGUAGAAUUUCAGCAAAUCUUAGCUCCUUGUCCAUUUUCCAUUACAUGUAUUGUCUUUAUUAAGGAGUUAAGCAUUAUCUGCUUAGUGAGUCAUGUAUGUGGUGUACUUACAUAAAUGCAGGCAAAGUACUCAAACAUAUGAAAUAAACACAAAUUUUUAGAACUAGUUUUAAGUUAGCAUGAAAAAUAAUGGGUCCCAUUGUGAAAUUUUCAUUUAUAUCUGUCAUUAUUCUUUCUAAUUUGCCCCUUCCUCAGUGUCUGCCCCCAUUGUCUCUAAUACUACCAUUGGUUCACAUCU